AGGUUAAGUUAACAAGGGCGCAUGGUGAAUGCCUUGGCACUAGGAGCCGAUGAAGGACGGGACUAACACCGAUAUGCUUCGGGGAGCUGUACGUAAGCUAUGAUCCGGAGAUUUCCGAAUGGGGCAACCCAGCAGUUUUAAUCAACUGUUACCACUAGAUGAAUUCAUAGUCUAGUUGGAGGUAAACGCUGUGAACUGAAACAUCUCAUUAGCAGCAGGAAUAUAAAGAAAUUUCGAUUCCCUAAGUAGCGGCGAGCGAACGGGGAACAGCCCAAACCAAAGUGCUUGCACUUUGGGGUUGUAGGACUGAACAUUUGAGUUACCAAAGAACUUGAUAGUCGAAGGAUUUGGGAAAAUCCGCCAUAGAUGGUGAUAGCCCAGUAGAUUAAAUCAAAUUCUCUCAGUUCAGGAUCCUGAGUACGGCGGAACACGUGAAAUUCCGUCGGAAUCUGGGAGGACCAUCUCCCAAGGCUAAAUACUACCUAGUGACCGAUAGUGAACCAGUACCGUGAGGGAAAGGUGAAAAGCACCCCGGGAGGGGAGUGAAAUAGUUCCUGAAACCAUGUGCCUACAAUAAGUCAGAGCGCGUUAAUGCGUGAUGGCGUGCCUUUUGUAGAAUGAACCGGCGAGUUAUGAUCCCGUGCAAGGUUAAGACUAAAAAGUCGGAGCCGUAGCGAAAGCGAGUCUGAAAUGGGCGUUUUGAGUACGAGGUUAUAGACCCGAAACCAGGUGACCUAUCCAUGUCCAGGUUGAAGGUGCGGUAAAACGCACUGGAGGACCGAACCCGUGUAAGUUGAAAAUUGCUGGGAUGAGGUGUGGAUAGCGGUGAAAUUCCAAACGAACUUGGAGAUAGCUGGUUCUCUCCGAAAUAGCUUUAGGGCUAGCCUCGGAAUUAGGAUCAUGGAGGUAGAGCACUAUUUGGACUAGGGGCCCGUCUUGGGUUACUGAAUUCAGAUAAACUCCGAAUGCCAUUGAUUCAUAUCCGGGAGUCAGACGAUGAGUGAUAAGAUCCACCGUCGAAAGGGGAACAGCCCAGACCAUCAGUUAAGGUCCCUAAAUGUAUGCUAAGUGGAAAAGGAUGUGGAGUUGCAUAGACAACUAGGAUGUUGGCUCAGAAGCAGCCACCAUUUAAAGAGUGCGUAAUAGCUCACUAGUCGAGUGAUCCUGCGCCGAAAAUGUACCGGGGCUAAGCAUACUACCGAAACCAUGGAUGCGACCAUUAGGUCGCGUGAUAGGAGAGCGUUCUAAGGGCGGUGAAGCAAGAUCGUGAGGACUUGUGGAGCGCUUAGAAGUGAGAAUGCCGGUAUGAGUAGCGAAAGAUAGGUGAGAAUCCUAUCCACCGAAUGACUAAGGUUUCCUGGGGAAGGCUCGUCCUCCCAGGGUUAGUCGGGACCUAAGUCGAGGCCGAGAGGCGUAGACGAUGGAUAACAGGUUGAGAUUCCUGUACUAGUUAAGUGCGUUUGAGCAAUGGAGGGACGCAGGAGGCUAAGAUGUGCAUUCUGUUGGAUUAGAAUGUCCAAGCAGUAAGUCUUGUGAAGAGUCAAAUGCUUUUCACUUUAAGGACAAGCUGUGAUGGGGAGCGAAAUUUAGUAGCGAAGCGUCUGAUGUCACACUGCCGAGAAAAGCUUCUAGUGAGUACUUAACUACCCGUACCGCAAACCGACACAGGUAGUCGAGGAGAGAAUCCUAAGGUGAGCGAGUGAACUCUCGUUAAGGAACUCGGCAAAAUGACCCCGUAACUUCGGGAGAAGGGGUGCUGAUCGCAAGAUCAGCCGCAGUGAAUAGGCCCAGGCGACUGUUUAUCAAAAACACAGGUCUCUGCAAAAUCGUAAGAUGACGUAUAGGGGCUGACGCCUGCCCGGUGCUGGAAGGUUAAAAGGAUGGGUUAGCUUCGGCGAAGCUCAGAAUUGAAGCCCCAGUAAACGGCGGCCGUAACUAUAACGGUCCUAAGGUAGCGAAAUUCCUUGUCGGGUAAGUUCCGACCCGCACGAAAGGCGUAACGAUCUGGGCACUGUCUCAACGAGAGACUCGGUGAAAUUAUAUUGUCCGUGAAGAUGCGGACUACCCGCGACAGGACGGAAAGACCCCAUGGAGCUUUACUGUAGCUUGAUAUUGAGUGUUUGUACAGCUUGUACAGGAUAGGUAGGAGCCAUAGAAACCGGAACGCUAGUUUCGGUGGAGGCGUUGGUGGGAUACUACCCUCGCUGUAUGACCACUCUAACCCGCACCACUAAUCGUGGUGGGAGACAGUGUCAGGUGGGCAGUUUGACUGGGGCGGUCGCCUCCUAAAAAGUAACGGAGGCGCCCAAAGGUUCCCUCAGAAUGGUUGGAAAUCAUUCGCAGAGUGUAAAGGCACAAGGGAGCUUGACUGCGAGACAGACAGGUCGAGCAGGGACGAAAGUCGGGCUUAGUGAUCCGGUGGUACCGUAUGGAAGGGCCAUCGCUCAACGGAUAAAAGCUACCCUGGGGAUAACAGGCUUAUCUCCCCCAAGAGUCCACAUCGACGGGGAGGUUUGGCACCUCGAUGUCGGCUCAUCGCAUCCUGGGGCUGUAGUCGGUCCCAAGGGUUGGGCUGUUCGCCCAUUAAAGCGGUACGCGAGCUGGGUUCAGAACGUCGUGAGACAGUUCGGUCCCUAUCCGUCGCGGGCGUAGGAAAUUUGAGAGGACCUGUCCUUAGUACGAGAGGACCGGGAUGGACAUACCUCUGGUGUACCAGUUGUGCCGCCAGGCGCAUCGCUGGGUAGCUACGUAUGGAUGUGAUAAACGCUGAAAGCAUCUAAGUGUGAAACACACCUCGAGAUGAGAUUUCCCAUUCCUUUAUGGAAGUAAGACCCCUGAAAGAUGAUCAGGUAGAUAGGUUAGAAGUGGCAGUGCGGUGACGCAUGAAGCGGACUAAUACUAAUCGGUCGAGGACUUAACCAAG
rnacentral:rRNA from 1 species